rnacentral:rRNA from 1 species
UUAGUACGAGAGGAACGAGGACUCGGAGCCACUAGUUUACCAGUUGUCCGGCAGGGCAAUGCUGGGUAGCCACGCUCCAUGUGGAUAAGAGCUGAAAGCAUCUAAGCUCGAAGUCACCCGAAAGACGAGGCAUCUCAGGGGACUCGUAGAAGACGAGUUUGAUAGACAGCGGGUGUAAGCACCGAGGUUCGCCGAGGUGUUCAGCCCAGCUGCACUAACCCCCCGAG